rnacentral:rRNA from 1 species
UACGAGGGGGGCAAGCGUUGUUCGGAAUUACUGGGCGUAAAGCGCACGUAGGCGGCUUUGCAAGUUAGAGGUGAAAGCCCAGGGCUUAACCCUGGAAUUGCCUUUAAAACUGCAUCGCUAGAAUUGUGGAGAGGUAAGUGGAAUUCCGAGUGUAGAGGUGAAAUUCGUAGAUAUUCGGAAGAACACCAGUGGCGAAGGCGACUUACUGGACACAUAUUGACGCUGAGGUGCGAAAGCGUGGGGAGCAAACAGG